UAAUACCGGAUAGAUCAAAGAUGCUGGAAUGUUCUCUGGUCCAAAACUCCGGUGCCCAAGGAUGGGUCUGCGGCCUAUCAGGUUGUAGUGGGUGUAACGUACCUACUAGCCUACGACGGGUAAGGGUUGUGAGAGCAAGAUCCCUGAGAUGGAUUCUGAGACAUGAAUCCAGGCCCUACGGGGUGCAGCAGGCGCGAAACCUUUACACUGCGGGAAACCGCGAUAAGGGGACCCCGAGUGCCAGCACCUAGUGCUGGCUGUCCAGCUGUCCAAAUAACAGUUGUUAGCAAGGGCCGGGCAAGACCGGUGCCAGCCGCCGCGGUAACACCGGCGGCCCGAGUGGUAGCCGCUAUUAUUGGGUUUAAAGGGCCCGUAGCCGGCCUAUUAAGUCUCUUGGGAAAUCUGGCGGCUCAAUCGUCAGGCGUCC
rnacentral:rRNA from 1 species